UACACAUGCAGUCGAACGAAGUAGCAAUACUUAGUGGCAGACGGGUGAGUAACAUGUAGGUAUCUACCCUUUGGCCUGGAAUAACACGAGGAAACUUGUGCUAAUACCGGAUAAGUCUUUACAGAGAAAGCUUUAUGCACCAUUGGAUGAGCCUGCACUAGAUUAGUUUGUUGGUGGGGUAAUGGCCUACCAAGACUGUGAUCUAUAGCUGAUUUGAGAGGAUGAUCAGCCACAUUGGGACUGAGACACGGCCCAAACUCCUACGGGAGGCAGCAGUGGGGAAUCUUGCACAAUGGAGGAAACUCUGAUGCAGCGAUGCCGCGUGAGUGAAGAAGGCCCUUGGGUUGUAAAGCUCUUUCGUCGGGGAAGAAAAUGACUGUACCCGAAUAAGAAGGUCCGGCUAACUUCGUGCCAGCAGCCGCGGUAAUACGAAGGGACCUAGCGUAGUUCGGAAUUACUGGGCUUAAAGAGUUCGUAGGUGGUUGAAAAAGUUGGUGGUGAAAUCCCAGAGCUUAACUCUGGAACUGCCAUCAAAACUUUUCAGCUAGAGUAUGAUAGAGGAAAGCGGAAUUUCUAGUGUAGAGGUGAAAUUCGUAGAUAUUAGAAAGAAUACCAAUUGCGAAGGCAGCUUUCUGGAUCAUUACUGACACUGAGGAACGAAAGCAUGGGUAGCGAAGAGGAUUAGAUACCCUCGUAGUCCAUGCCGUA
rnacentral:rRNA from 1 species